GUGAUCUGAAUAUUGUAACAAAAUAAUUUAAUUUCAUUGGAAGUACAGAUACAUAUACUGCCCCUUUCUAUAAAAUGAUUAACAGUUCUGUACAAAUAUAAGGGUAGACCAAGAAUUACAUAUAAAAUACAAAGCACGUCAUUGUGUGUUCGAACUACCAUAGUUCUUCAGUUGUAAUUUGUCAAGCGUUUAUCGCUCGACAGAUGAAAUGAAGAUCGAUAAAAGCAUGCAAGAUCCAUCAAUCAAAAACAGGGAUCCUCUGCAGAAACCAUGUGAUUAGUGUGCCGGAGUUUCUCAGGGGCGCAAAAAGAAGAAUCAAAGUUGAUACAUAUACGUGUGCAUUUCACUGUAACUAAAUCAACCUAGUCUGGUUUGGUGUACUCGAGGAGCAUAUGUGGUGAUCUGUAAAUCUUUACAAGUGUCCAGUAAAGGACCUCUUCAACUCCAAGCUCACCCUCUGCUCUUGCGGCAUAUAUAUCCUCACAGAUGGCUAUCAACCUGUCACAGGAAGGUAGAUUUUCAUAUGGUAUUCUCAUUCUCAAGUCUGAGCACUGAAGUCUGAUAAAACGACCCACAGCAAGCACAAAAGUUAUGUAAAGACCCCAGAUGCUGAACUUGCUGAUUGUGUCACCAAGAAUUCCCUGUGGUGGAGUUUCCUCAGACAUUAUGAUGGCCGUGGGUCCUGUCAAGCCUCCACAGCCGCUUAAAUCUGAUGAAUUGAUACCAUGAAAUGACCACCAGCUAAAGUCUGCCCGAUUUAUAAUGAGAUCUGCACUGACUGCGCUUACAAUUGCUAUACUACUGUUUUUAGGAUGGUUGGAACAACAGUGAAAAUGCUCCAUCACAGGUUCAAAGUACGGAGAAGCCUCCUUUCAAAGUAAAAAAGAAGGCUAUGUGCAUCUAACCCUCUCUCUUGUUCCAAAGGUCUGACAUCACCAGAACCAGUAACACGCAAGUACCUAGGAUAAAGAUUGUAUAUCCUAAAGCUGUUUGUUGAACCAUUAAGAACUUUCUGGACAUCUGAUCGUGUUGGAAGAUCCAGAGAAUCAACAGGUUUCUCAUAUUUCACAACUUCCUUGCCCUUUGGCCUCUCCCUGUUAAGUACCCAAAUGAAAAGAAUAUCCAGAUCCAGAUCCCCGUCAAGGGACUGGAUAAAUCUCUUCUGAACCACAUCUGGAACAAGCCAUAACAUACUUGCAUCUGCUUGGCAGCAUAUCAGCUGAAUAUCAUUCUUAUUAUAUAAAUUUAAAUAACCAUUAGGAUCUAGAUCAACAUCUGAGUUGACAUUAUCCCAUUGGAGUUUCUCACAAAGAGUAGUUUGAUACAACGUCAACCUCCCACCUGCAGUCUUGAUAUCAAGCUGAACACUUGCAUCUUUAAUUGGGUUUGCAAUAUUUGUUGGGUUGCCACUGCUGUAAAUCAGCAUAGGAGCCCAAAUGACACAGAUUAAUAUAAAGAACAGGCAAAUCCCAUUGCAACAUUUGGUCCACUUUGUUUGCUUCUCUCCUUGUUUGUGCUGAGCUCUAUUCAAGACAGUGUCGCAUUUAACGAGGUAUAGACUUGCAUGUAUGUCCUCCAGCUUCAGCCAGUCAUACAUGGUCAAAGAGGUGGUUGUACACGACCAGUCCAGCACACAUCGCAAUUCAUAAAGGAAUGGCAGAGCUCGAUAAAGUCUAUACCCUAAAUAAUUAAUUCGUGAAACUUGACUAGUCAAAAACUGUCGAUACAAGGUGCUUUUAUGAGGAAUCCCUUGGCGGAUUUGUAUGGCUUGCAGUGAUAGAGAAACUGCUUUUGCAAGAAAUAUAGCACGGAGUGCAAACCCUGCAGCAUGCUCUUGGGAAGAUUCCAAAUGCCAAGCAUAUGCUACAACUGAAUAUGUAAAGAGAAUGAGGUUGAAAAUAUAAAAGAUCACCUUUCCAGUGGCAAAUGAACAGAGGUAAAUAAUGCGAUCAAGUACAAUCAAGAAGAAGAUAACCAUCAAGACAAAUACGAACUCUUUUGGAAACUGAUCUUCAAGCUGAUAAACAUCUAGAAAUUCACUUUUAUUUUUUAUAACAGAUUGGUAGAAAAUUGCAACUAAGAAGAACACACUCAAAUCUGCACCAAAUAUGUAGGCAUAUAGAUCAAUUUCUCUUUUGCCUCCCCCAAUGACGGAGAUAAUAAGGUAUGGAAAUCCAAUUGCUUCAACAAGCCCAUCAUAUUUUGCUUUAAGAAUCUCCUUUGCUACAUCGGCUGCUGGAGUCAGUGACUUAUACCACUCUGCUGAUGCACAGCUUGUCAAAGGGGAGGCAUAUACCACCUCAAAAACAACCAAGGCCAUGUUUGGAUUUUCUUCACUUCUUUCAAUGCUCUGAACAUGAAUCCUACUAGCAAAAGGGCAAAGAUUUGGGCUCUUUCCGUCGCAUCUCUCAUCAUGAACAAUUUUAAGCAAUUGGUUUAUUCCAGACUCUAUUCUCUCUGGCUGAAUUCCAUCCUCCGGCCACAUGUGCACGUCCAUGGACACCUGGACCAAAAAUGGAGGAGACUCUGCUCCCUGUGUAAGUGAUUCCCAGUACCUAAAGACGCUUCUGACUAUCAAUCUUACCAUGCUUGUUAUUACAUGCAGUAGUUCCUGUGCCUUUUCACUCCAACUAUAACUCAGAAGAACCUCUUCUCUAUGCAGAGUACUUUUUCUACAGAAUUUACCGUCCACUAAAGGCAUCCAUUCACCAUCUUUUGCAGUUAUAGAGCUCUGUAGGAGGGUAAAUAAGUAAACAAAGAACAGAGGCAAUGAACUAAUGACAAAGGAUGAGCCGAUUUUAUGUGCAGGAAAUCCUAACUCGCGAAGUAGGUCUGAAUGAAUAGUCAACCUGCAGUGCUGAAUGAUAAUUUGAUAGAGAUACUGAAGCAAAAUGUAAACUUCAGUGUAAAUCAGCAUGAUAACCCAGAAGAUGUAAUUGGGGCCAGUGUUCACACAUAAAGCAUACAAGAAAAGAGCUCCAAGGUAUACCAUAGAAAGCAAACUAAAGUUCCACAGAAAGACGAGAAUGAAGCAACAGUAACACACUACAUCAUUAUUGGACCGCAUUUGAGACCAUAUAUGCCAGAAGAUCCUCCCUAUCUGCAGACUUGUAGUGUCAGAACUCACGUCUGACUGCAGAGAAGAUGAACGAUCCAAAUUAAUGUGUUUAUUCUUCUGGCUCUCGAUCUCAUCACACACUCCACUCUCAGAAGAGAAGUUCUCAUUUGUAUCUGAAUCUUCUGGUUCAAUGUUUAAGAAGCUCACAAGAUUAUUAACUGCCUGAUUUCCAAUAGACUGAACCUGGGAGACACCAUCACCUAUCAGCUGUACUGCAGAUUUCAAAGGGUUUUCCUUUGACUGGGCCCUCUCCUUUUUUCCAGAAUCAAAAAGCAAGCUAUCAGCUGAUUCCUGUGUGAUCUCAGUGAUCUCACAAAUAGGAGAUUCUGAAGAAUACUUUGGAGACAUUUCUUUUUCUAGACUUUCUGUAUUCAAACUAACCAGAGAUUCAUGCACUUCGAAAGGAAAUGAUGAAUCAUCUCUAAUGAUCGGCUCUUGUUUCCUGAGGGUUUGUUCAACUUUCUCAGGACUAGCAGAAUCUCUUUUAGAAGUAAGAGAAGUAGUCCUCCUUCGCAGGCCUUCCCUAUCAGGGGAAGUGCCACCACAAUUAGCAGUUGAAUUAAUGUUGUGAAGCUGAAUCUGCAAGUUAAGCAUCUCAGAUUUCAUCUUCUCCACUUGCAUAUUACGAUGGCGUUUCUUCUCCUCAGAUUCACGAAUGUGUUGUAACUGUGCAGUUUUCCAUGCUGCUUUCUUCUCUUGCUCAUGCACAAUGGCACCAAUUUGCUCUGCUUCAAGAUAACGUGAAACAUGAUCAAAUUCGCUGGAGGAAAACAUAUAUGACUGAAGCGAUACCAGCACAAAUAUGAUAAUCUCGACAAGUGCAGAUCUAGCAGUAAUUCUAAACCCAUAGUCAUACUUAUAAAACCCGAUCAUCUCAUAUAUGUAAUCUAGUGUCUCACACUUCCCAGAACUUUUAGAUACACCCACAAAAGGAGAUUGAUAAGCAAGAGACAGAACAAUAAGAGCAAAGUUGUAUAUACGCAAGAAUCUGAACAUCUUGUUCUUCUUCUUCAACAUUACAAGUCUCAUCCGAAAGAAAACCAGAGCAAAUGCAAGAUAACCAAGGUGCAGAAUGUCAUAUUCAAGGGUUCCAGUAAUCAAAAUCAAGCAAAGCACAAGAUCCAACAGAUGGCAAUAGCAGUAAAGUCUAAGGUAGUCGAGAAAAGUCCACAUGCUUUUAGUUUCAAAAGAGAGAUCCUUCCAAACGAAUGUAUUUUUACGUUGAGACAUCAUUUGACGAUAUGUUGAUGAGCCUGAGAAACUGGAAAAACGAUCGGAAUGGAGUUUGAAACAAGCAAGCAUGAAGACAACAAAAUAGCUGGCAAGCAUCCGUGAAUCAUCCACAAUGAGUCCCAGCCAACAGUUCUUGCAAUACUGAAAAUGAAGUGCUGAGCUUUUCCAGCAGUCAUGACAAGAUAGAUCAGUUGAACUCGGGAUACGUUUAUUCAAAGGAAAGAUGCUCUUCCAGAUAGCAAAGUACUCCAGGAUAAGAAUGGAUGCAAACAAGAACACAAAUAUAGGCCACAACUUACGUAUAAUGCGCUGUUUUACAAGAAUACAAGCAGCAAGCAAUGCAAUAUAUAGCAUAGAGAUGGCAUUCAACAAGGCAAAGCUGGCUAGAACCAAUGCAAUCAUAUUUAUUUCAAGGCCAAAAAGGUUAAACAUAUUCUCCAUCCAGAAUUUCAAGUAUAUUUUCAAGAGGGUCUUCUGUGUUUCAAAUCUUUCCUUUCUCAAUGCAAGAAUCCUCUUCUUAUUCCACUUAUGACUCUCCUUGCUGCUUCCCCAGAUAUAUCCAAAUGAAAAUAUUCGGGUGCUACUACCAUCUGCAACAGUUUUAUUGGACAGAAGGUUGGGCACUUGAGUAAGACCAGAGGUGAAAGAGUGUGUGCUUGCAGUUGUAACUCCCUCUCUCUUUACAGAUGGCACAUUAUAGUCUAAUGGUGGCUUAUUUUCAUCAUUGGAUAUGGAAUCAUUCAUAACGGCAUUUUCAUCCGAGACAAACAAUGGACAAGGCUCUUCCCAUUUUCCUUUAUCUGGAAUAGGAUUUGGCAUCUGACCCAACCAAUGGAAGACAUUGUACUGAAGAGUGCAAGCAGCAAUUACUAGGACUUUUCCUCUCAAUCCUGACUCUAGCCCCCAAAAACCUGGCUCAUAUGCACGGAAACCCAAGAAAAGGGAAAUCUCAGAGUGCUUUUGCCCUGGAAACAUUCCAGCUUGUCUACCCCACAUCUGAAAUAGAUACUCAGAUGUCACCAGAAAUCCAGUAUAUAACAGGAAUGAUUUGGAUGGUAUCCGAGAAGUUUUGGGUAAAGUUGAACAGAUUACAAGGCCAAGUAAAUAUACAAAACCAAAAGCACUAAUUGGACAUAAAGAGGCAUAGAAUAAUGCAACAAACAGGAUCUUCUGACUGUGCCAAAUCAGAAAUCGUUUCAUGAACCCAAAUACUCCAGAAUCCAAUGGAUCAGGAUCAUCCGACCUGUUAUAUUUGCUUUGUCUCCUCUCAUAGCUAUAAAGUUGCAUCACUAUUAAGACAGCCAGAGAUUCCCAAACAUUUUGCAACAAUGAAGCCUUUGAGUUGUAGCCUAAGUAAAAAUACAGAUCUAUAAACAUGGACAGCCACAUCUCAAGGCGGGGGAAACUGCUCAAGCUAUAGAUGGAGACAAAAACCAUGAUAGCAUAUACUUUUAAAGAAAACCAUAGACGCCUUUUUGUUUUCUCAACAAGUUGCCUUCCAAUUAUCCAAACUAGGAGCAGGAAAAUAUACCCGAAUGAUAUGUAAUUGGGAGUCACCAGGUAUACUGUGAAAAGAAUGGUCAGAAAUGCAAUGUAGGUUCCGCAUGAUCGAUACAUGGAUAAGAACUUCUGCCCAACUGCACUGAGGAAUGAUGCUAUCCUACUCUCAUAAGAAUGACUAUCAUGGCUGUAUUUGGCAGUCUGAGAGGCAUACACUGACAAGAGGACUGAUUUGUUCAGUCCGGCUUUCAAGAUGCUAAAUCCAACAGGAGGGCUUGGUGUGUGCUGCACAAUUGCUGAGAAUGAAAAUAACAUCUCAAAACCAUGGUUAUGAAUGGCACAGAAGCAAGCAAGCAGAGCAAUUUCCAAGAAAUCCCAGGAACUAUCUUGUUUAAGAAGACCUAACUGCAGCAAAACUUCCAUACUUGAGGAUCCUGUUUGCUCUAAAGCAUGAGAGAUUAAAUCAAUCUGAAGAAUGUAUAACAGUGCAAAGUGAGCUUCACACAGAAGAAUCAGGGACUGACGUAUCUUUUUGCUGAUGCCAUGGCUCAAAAGAUAUACCAAGAAAAAUAUCAUAUAUACAGCAUGGAUGAAACCAGGUUUCAUGGCAAUGAGGAAAAUAAGUGCCAGCAUAAUAGCCCGGGAGCAUUUUCGCAGUCCCCAUGCAAUUGUGGCCACAAUCAACACCUUGGUACCUUCUUCCACUUCUACAGUGGAGUUUUCAAUUGAAGGUCGAUUACCCUCAUCAGACAAGUAGAGGAAAACAGAAUUGUUCACAAGGUUACCCAAAGCAACCAAAAUACCAAGACAAAAUUGUGCAAGCAGAAAGAAUCCAGGAAUAGGAUAAUGCCACAGUCCAACCAUCUCCCAGAUUUCCAUAUCCUUCUCAAGUUUCCUAUUGAAGAGUGGAAAAGCUACAUUGAAGAUAUAUGUGCUAACUGCCCAAAAGAGAAUGAAUACAAGAAGCAGCCCAUUUAACCGGUGCAUACGGAAUACAGAAGGGAAGGCAUAAACAAUGUAGCCAACAUAUGCGAGUAACCCAAAUGCGCAUACACUGGCAAAAUGAAAACUCCAGUAGGAAAGAGCGAACAAGGAGACCGGAAAACCAUACGUGAAAAAGUUGAUACUAAAGGUCCGAAAAACUGCUCCCCUUAAUAAAACGUUGGUAUGCCUGACACCAGAUCUAGAUUGACGAAUGAAAAAUGAAUGCCUUAUGGGGAGAAGUUGCUCUGCCAGGUUACUUUCUCUCAUGGACAUAAUAAAAUCCAUUUCCUCCAAAUCACUCUUAAUAAAGGAUAGCAUGAGGUAAAAAAGUACAAGAGAGAGACCAGAACAAAUCUCAGGCCACUCCGUUUUUCCAGAUAUUUUGAACAGACCAAUGAAAUCAGCUAUCCAGUGAAACAGACUGGGGACCUCUAUAGGAAGCUGAUAGACAUAAAGCAGGAUAAUGCUAAAGCUAGCAUACAGCUGAAGAGGUCUCCACCACCUGAAAAGUCCUAGAAAAUUGCUUGUCAGCGACCAAUCCACAAGACCUGCACAGUUACCAAUAAAAAAAGGUAGAGAAAGCCACGAGGGAUGGCUAAUCCCCACACCCAGCUGAAUGGCAGGCAACAGCAAACAGGAAGCAACCCUAAAAUAAGAGCCUAUCUGCUCGAGAACAGUUAAGAAAUGACCCCAGCAGGAAUCUUGCCAUGGAAAUACACCAAAUCUGUUUCCAUAUAUACCAAUGAAAGCAACAAAAACCGCUAAUAGUUGUACAACCAAUAAAUAGAUCACAGUCAGUGAUUUCCAGGACUGGACUACCAUCAAACCAGUUAGAUGUGCCCACCAAGCAUUUGCUCCACUCCAUUUGCUUCCCUUAAUUGCCCAUAUAAUAAGAUAUACCACUUCACCAAGAAUAACAAGAAGGGAAAACAAAAUAACGGGCCACAAUAACAAAAAUCGCCUCCGAAAACGAAAACCUAUUUUUGGUGCAUAAUACUGAAUAAGAAGGAAGGCUAUUAAAUCAACAAGAGAAAUCAAACUCCAAUUAGUCAAAGCAGCUGUUAAGAGAAGCAAUGGCAAAAUAAAUCCGACGAGAAAAUUCCCCAUGAGAAAGGACCCUUGUUAGCAACAGAAUGACCAUGGACUCCACGCUUGCUUAGAUUCCGAUUCCGAUUCCGUCAAUGGGUUCAUAAGUCUGAUGGAAAGCAAGAGAAACCCAAUUCCCGGAAAAUCCAGAUAUUGUCGUUGGAUAAAACCGGUAAACAGUUGCUUGGCUUCUGUGUUGCUUUGCUUCGGAAAUCAACAACGAGGUUUUCUGAAAUUACGCUAACGAUCAAUAAUUUCCUUGUGUUAAACUAAAAC
rnacentral:misc_RNA from 1 species